UCACUUCCCCUUCUUCUCUGCUCUGUACAUAUAAUUUCACUUCACGACUAUUUAACUGACGUCACCGGUAGUCAACGAGAUGCCCGCUUCACCAGCUCCACGUCAGUUCGCUGCUAGUCUCCACACAGUCCACACCUCAACGCUGUCUGCUGUUCCGCUCGUCGACCACCUGGCUUCUGUUCACCGGCUUUCUCUUAGGAGUCAGCCUGGUAAGCCUUCACCCGCUACAGCAGGGUGUUAGCUGUAUGGUGAUUCCACAUAUAUGAUCUAAGGACGUAUAUGUUGGCUCUUGUGUUUCCUUCCCGUUUUCCGUUCUUUCUAGACGUGAGAUGUCGGAACGGGAAAAGGGCUCAGGAACGCCUCGGCGUCCCCCCUCACCUGCUUCGGGAGGGAAGCGACGUGAGAAGGACCUUCUAGAAGGCGAUGGCAAGCGGAGGAAGGCCUCCCGGGAUAGUUCCAGUACUCAACCACCUCCCGCCUGUCCGCAGUCAGCUGCGGGCCCGAGCCACAUCGGCGAUACAGCGGUGCCUCCUUCGAGUGAAGUAACUUUGGACAAGCUUUCUACCCUUUUGGGUGCUCUAAUUGAAAGAUUAGACCAGCCGGCAGUCCCUCCAGUGUCGGUGGAGACAAACUUCACCUUCCCCCAUUCUGAUGAUGAGGCAGCUGAAGCGCCUCGGUGUCUGCCCGAAGCUGAUCCCCUUGACGACCUCGAUCUGCUUACUGCCCCCGCUACACAGUCAACCGGUGAUUCGGUGGUUGAUGCGGAUUUCCAGAAAGCUCUCGAUGAGUUUGCUGGCCACUUCCGGGGUGAGGAAGAGACAGGUGACCCCUUAUCUGACCGCCUGGCUGGCAUUCUUAAUGCCAGUCUGAGACGUCGGCCCUCUUCUGACGGUGUGAAGCUUACAUGUGAUAAGAUCAAACUCCCGAGUAAUGUACCCAAUUUAAAGGUCCCAGCGACUAAUUCUGCCAUCACAAAGGCAAUGAGCGUCGGUGGAAAGCUAGUUGACACUCGGCUGUCACUUACUAAUAAACUGUUGACCAAGGCGUUGGUCCCCAUUGCCUGUUGCAUCAGUGAUAUUGGUGAUAAGAAAGACAAGCCUGUAAACUACUACCUUGAUGGUCUUAAUAACAGCCUGAGGCUACUGACUUCCGCUGUUAACUACAUCAAUCAGCUUCGGAAAGAGGUUGCUCGAACUCAUGUGAAUGAUUCUGCCUUGGCAGAGCUCUGCAAUUGGGAGUGUGAGGUCGGCAAGGAUGAUUUAUUCCCGUUCGAUGUGAUUAAGAAGUGUGAGGAAAUUCACAAAUCCAGGAAACUUGGGCGGCCCACCUUCCGCCCUUACAAAGCUCCUGGAAAACGAUUUGCUUCACCUCGCCAGUUACCCUCACGCCCUCACUCUCAGCAGCCGAGACCACGUCACCAAACAAGGUCUUUUUUUAGGCCAGAGGCCUCCCCAGGGGAAGGGGAUGCCGAGACACAGAGCUCACCAGUGAAAGUACCUUUGGUCGGCGUCAGCCAGUAAGGCGGCCCUGCGGCUCCCUUUGUCGACAAUUAUCUCUACUAUUGGCUGGACCAGAGAAUCUACAUUCACGAAGUACUACAGGAAGCCCAUAAUUGAUGCUGGACUGACGUGGAGCUGGUGAAGCGGGCAUCUCGUUUACUACCUCAGUGACGCAGUUAAAUGUUCGUGAAAUUACGAUCAAACAUCAUACUUGGUAAGUAUUCGUUUAAUCUCCCAAUUAUACAGUACACUGAUACUGGUACGCGUGACAGUUACGCAGUUGACACGUACUUAGUAAUUUAUAUGCACACAGAUAAGUAUCCUAAGUGUGAUAGGACAGUAACAUCAUAGGUGUGAUAGCACAUUAUCAUGACUGCGACAACAGCACAUUAUCAUACAUGUUAUGGGUCUAGGAAUUCUUAAGAGCCAAACAACUGGAAACACUCUCCUAUAUGUCGCUCCAACAGGGGGUUUAAGUUGUAGCCUGUUCACAUAGGGUCUCACUUUCUCCAUGUCAAUAGGUCACUUCAGCUGGCGACCUGCACAAGGGUCUUCUCACUUAAUGCACAGGUCAGCAUCUUUUCGGCGUAAACGUUGCGCCCCUACCACACUUACAUCAUCUUUUCUCCUCUUUCUCUCAGCUUC